GGGGGAAAAAUUAAUAAUUUAAAAAUAUGAAAAAAAAUUUUAAUAUAAAAUAUUUAAUGGGGGUUAAAGUAUAUUUAUAGAAAAAAUUAUAAAAUUUAUAGUGAAAUAGUAUUGUGGGGGAAAUUUGAAAAUAUUGAAAUAAUAAUUUAUAUAAAAGUAAAUUUAAUUUAUUGUAUCUUGUGUAUCAGAGUUUAUUAAAAAAAUAAUUUAGUUUAAUUUAUUUCGAAUUUCAAAGAGUUAAUUAAUUAAAAAAGUUAAUAUUGCAUAAUUAUUUUUAAUAAUUAAUUGGAAAUGAAAAGUUAAUCGUUUUGAAAUAUAUCUAAUUUUUUUAGAAAAAAAUUUAAUUUUAAAUUAAUUUUUUAAUAAAUUAAUUAAUUAAUUUAUUAAAAAUUUAAUUUUAUAUUUUAAGGGAUAAGCUUUAAAUUAAAUUUUUAUAAUAAAAAUAAAAUAAUUGAAAUUUUUAAGAUUUAUAUUUUUUAUAAAUUAUAAUUUUUUAUAAAUAAUUUCAUUUAAUUAAAAUUUUUUUUAAUUUAAUUUUUUAUAAAAAAAUAUUUUUUAAUAAAUAAAAAAUAGUUAUAAUGAUAAAAUUAGUAUAUAAUUAAUAAAUAAAUUAAAAAUUAUUAAAAUUAAUAAAAAGGAAUUCGGCAAAAAU
rnacentral:rRNA from 1 species